GCAUAUCAAUAAGCGGAGGAAAAGAAACUAACAAGGAUUCCCCUAGUAACUGCGAGUGAAGCGGGAAAAGCUCAAAUUUAAAAUCUGGUAGUCUCUGGCUGCCCGAGUUGUAAUCUAGAGAAGCGUUAUCCGUGCUGGACCGUGUAUAAGUCUCCUGGAAUGGAGCGUCAUAGAGGGUGAGAAUCCCGUCUUUGACACGGACUACCAGUGCAUUGUGAUGCGCUCUCGAAGAGUCGAGUUGUUUGGGAAUGCAGCUCUAAAUGGGUGGUAAAUUCCAUCUAAAGCUAAAUAUUGGCGAGAGACCGAUAGCGAACAAGUACCGUGAGGGAAAGAUGAAAAGAACUUUGGAAAGAGAGUUAAACAGUACGUGAAAUUGUUGAAAGGGAAACGCUUGAAGUCAGUCGCGUUAGCUUGGAAUCAGCCUUGCUUUUGCUUGGUGUACUUCCUUGUUGACGGGUCAGCAUCAAUUUUGACCGGUGGAAAAGGGCCAGUUGAAUGUGGCAUCUUCGGAUGUGUUAUAGCUUCUGGUCGUAUACAUCGGUUGGGAUUGAGGAACUCAGCACGCCGCAAGGUCGGGGUUCGCCCACGUUCGUGCUUAGGAUGCUGGCAUAAUGGCUUUAAUCGACCCGUCU
rnacentral:rRNA from 2 species